UCCACGCCGUAAACGAUGGAUACUAGCUGUUCGGAGCAAUCUGAGUGGCUAAGCGAAAGUGAUAAGUAUCCCACCUGGGGAGUACGCACGCAAGUGUGAAACUCAAAGGAAUUGACGGGGGCCCGCACAAGCGGUGGAGCAUGUGGUUUAAUUCGAUGAUACGCGAGGAACCUUACCAGGGCUUAAAUGUAGAUUGACAGGACUGGAAACAGUUUUUUCU
rnacentral:rRNA from 1 species